rnacentral:lncRNA from 1 species
UUUCAAGGAGAAACAGAGUUUAGGUUUUGCAAUUCUUAAAGAGCUCGCAACAAAGAAGAGUUGUUGAACAUAAUUUGCAAAUAAAUUGUAUAACAGAGAUAGAAGAAUGAGAGGAGACAGUAAAUCUAUUUCAUGGUCCAAAAAAGAAAAUUACAAGCAGUUGUAAUUUGUAACUACUAAUUGAAAUUACAAAGUUACUCCUCUCCCUAAUUUGGCAUGUUACAACUACUCCCUCCCUAAGAAUCCUUGUCCUUAAGGAUUAAACUAGGGAUGUCAAAAUGAUUAAAAGAAAUUAAUUAACCACCCAUACUAUCCAAUAAAAAAUGAGUUCGAACUUUUUAAAAACGGUCAAAUAUGGAUAAGAACCAUAUUACCCAUUUAGAAAAUGGAUAACCAAUGGAUAAAUAACUUUUAUACUUUUAAGACCUUAAAUUGGGAGUUCCUCAAGUUUUGGAGAAUCCUUAAAAGUGAUCAUAUUCAAGAUAUUAUCUGGCGGUUAACUCAUUUUAUUUACCGUAUUAAAUAUGGAUCGGGUCGGAUAAUUUAUUCGUAUUUUCAUUACCUGUUUUUACCCGUCUCAUAUCUGACCCAAACCGUCCGUUUGCCACCCCGAGAUUAAACAAAGGAAAUUAUUGCUGGAGUGUAUGAAGAUCUACCGAAGUACUAUCUUCAGAAGCACAAUUGAACCACUUCACUAAGACUUGUGUGACUGCACGAUUGUUCUUGGGCACAAUUCUUCUAUCUAUAAAGCUUCAGGCUCUAGUAUAACAUGACCAUGUUUGGAAAGAGAGAUUGGAAGGUGAGGGACAGCAUGUUUGUUGCCAAUCAUCUUCUAGUUGUGACACAUGAAAUGUAUGAAAUAUAUUCAGGGUCUGCAAUGUAGCUUCCAUAUCUGAGUGGCCACCGAUAGGACUAGGGGUGUGCAUUCGGUUUAUCAAUUCGAUUUUUAUCCUUAUCGAUAAUUACUUAUCGGUUAUAGAUUUUUACAUAUGCUUAUCGUUAUCGUUUCAAUAAGGUUUCGAUUUUUUCGAUUUCGNNNN